rnacentral:sRNA from 1 species
AUUGUCGUUUUGAUUUGAGAUAGGAAGAUGAGGGGAGGAAGGAGGUGAGGCGGUAAGGGGCGUUCUCUCUCUUGGGUCCCGCGCCCAACUUCCGCUGGCCCAAAGAAACUAUAAUUUUGAACCAACAGACCUCUGCUGGCAUCUGCGAUUGCAUUUUUCCUGUUUUAACAACGGCUGUGCUAGACGAAGUGGUGAAGCCCAAAGACUUAUUUUUGAACUCCCUGUAAGACUGAGAAAUCACGUAGUCCUUCCUGAAACCAUUAAGAGGAAAAAUGAUCUAAAGUGGGCAACUAGGCUGGGCACAGUGGCUGACACCUGUGAUCCCAGCACUUUGGGAGGCGGAGUCUGUGACACUGCAUACAGAUGUAGGUGAUAUUAAAAUUGAAGUCUUCUGUGAGAGGACACCCAAAACAUGUGAGAUGGAGUCUCGCUGUGUCCCCCAGGCUGGAGUACAAUGGCGCGAUCUCGGCUCACUGCAACCUCCGCCUCCUGGGUUCAAGCAAUUCUUCUGCCUCAGCCUCCCGAGAACUGGAAGAGGAGGCAACAGUAUCUGGGGCAAGAAGUUUGAGGAUGAAUACAGUGAAUAUCUUAA